CUUUACUGUUUUAUCUUUUACUCACUGAAGCUAAGCAGGGCUGAGCAUGGUCAGUACCUGGAUGGGAGACCACAUGGGAAAACUAGGUUGCUGUUGGAA
rnacentral:rRNA from 1 species